GAUGAACGCUGGCGGCGUGCCUAAUACAUGCAAGUCGAGCGAAUUGACAGAGGUGCUUGCACCUCUCGAUUUUAGCGGCGGACGGGUGAGUAACACGUGGGUAACCUACCUAUAAGACUGGGAUAACUUCGGGAAACCGGAGCUAAUACCGGAUAAUAUUUAGCUUCGCAUGAAGCAAUAGUGAAAGACGGUUCUGCUGUCACUUAUAGAUGGACCUGCGGUGUAUUAGCUAGUUGGUGAGGUAACGGCUCACCAAGGCAACGAUACAUAGCCGACCUGGGAGGGUGAUCGGCCACCCUGGGACUGAGACACGGCCCAGACUCCUACGGGAGGCAGCAGUAGGGAAUCUUCCGCAAUGGACGAAAGUCUGACGGAGCAACGCCGCGUGAGUGAAGAAGGUUUUCGGAUCGUAAAACUCUGUUGUAAGGGAAGAACAAGUACGUUAGUAACUGAACGUACCUUGACGGUACCUUACCAGAAAGCCACGGCUAACUACGUGCCAGCCGCCGCCGUAAAAC
rnacentral:rRNA from 1 species